ACAGCAGCUCUCUAGAGUUUAAUCAUCUAGCAUAACUGAAACUUUAUAUCCAUUGAAUAAUAAUGGGUCCAAUCAGAGCUAUAGCUGCCAGCCUACACACCACAGCUCACAGCAACACCAGAUCCUUAACCCACUGAGCGAGGCCAGGGAUUGAACCUGCAACCUCAUGGUUCCUAGUCAGAUUUCGUUUCUGCUGCGCCAUGUCAGAAACUCCAAGAAAAGAAAAUUUUUUUAGCCAUGCUCUCGGCAUGUGGAAGUUCCUGGGCCAGGGAUCAAAACCAAGGCACAACUGUAACCAGAGCUGCUGCAGAGACAACACUGGAUACUUAACAUACUGAGCCACCAGGGAACUCCAAGAUGUUUUAAUUUUUUUUAAAUAAGUUUUAUUGGUGUGUAUUUGACUUAGAAAGUUGUGUUACUGUCAAGUGUACGCGCAGUAAAUCAGUUAUACAUAUACAUUAUAUCUGUACUUUCUUUUUUGCAUUUUAGGGGUGCACCUGUGGCAUAUAGAAGUUCUCAGGCUAAGGGUCAAAUCAGAGCUGCAGGUGCUGGCCUACGCCACAGCCAUGGCAACACCGGAUCCGAGCCACAUAUGCAACCUACACUACAGCUCAUGGAUCCUUAAUCCACUGAGCAAGGCCUGGGAUUGAACCUGUGUCCCAGCAUUGCAGAGAUGCUGCUGAUCCUGUUGGGCUAUUUUCUAAUUUCCCUUAUGAUUUCUUCUUCGACUCAUCGGUUCUUUAAGCGUUUGCUUUGUAGUUUCUACAUAUUUGUGACUUUUCUAGAUUUCAUUUCUGCUUUUGAUUUCAAUCCUAUUAAGUUUAUUAAGACUUUUUUUGGUGGCCUAACAUAGGGUCUGUCCUGGAGAAUAUUCCAUGUGAACUUGAGGCUAUGUAUUAUGUUUUGGGGUGCAGCAUUCUGUAUACAUCUUUUAGGUCUAAUUCAUCAUAAUGUUGUUCAAGUCCUCUACUAUCCAUUAUUGAAAGUAGAGUAUUGAAUCUAUUGUUAUUAUUUAAAGUAUGUCUCUUUCUUUCUUUCUUUUUUUGCCUUUUCUAGGGCUCUGUAGCCACCAGCCUGUGCCAGAGCCACAGCAAUGCAGGAUCUGAGCCACGUCUGCAACCUACACCACAGCUCACAGCAAUGCUGGAUCCUUAACCCACUGAGCAAGGUCAGGGAUUGAACCUGCGACCUUAUGGUUCCUAGUUGGAUUCGUUAACCGCUGAGCCACGACAGGGAUUCCUAAAAUAUGUCUCUUUCUUCAGUUCUAUGAGUUUGCUUCGUAUAUUUUUGGUCUCUGAUGUUUGGUGUAUGUAUAUUUGUAAUUGUUAUAUCUUUUUCAUGAAGUGACCGUUUCCUCAGUAUAUAAUUUUCUUCUUUGUUUCUUACAACAGUCUAUUCUGUCUGAUACUAACAUAGCCACUCUAGUUCUCUACCAGUUACUGUUUGCAUGGAGUAUCUUUUUCUGUCCCUUCACAUUCAACUUGUUGUGUCCUUAGAUCUAAAAUGUAUCUCUUGUAGCAGCGUAAGGGAGGAUCAUGCUUUUUUAAUCCUUUCUGCCAGUCUACACCUGUUGAUUGUAACAUUUAAUUACUUUGCAUAUAAAAUAAUUACUGAUAGGAUUUCCCUAGUGGCCUAGUGGUUAAGAACUUGACAUCGUCACUCCAAUGGCUUGGGUUACUGCCUGGCUUGGAUUCGAUCCCUGGCCCAGGAACUUCUGCAUGCUGCAGGUGUGGCCAAAGAAAACUAAAUAAAUAAUUGCUGGUAGUGAAAGGAUGGAUUUUAUUUUUUGUAUUUUUGUAUUUUUUUGUCCCUCAUUUUGUCCAUUACUCUUUCUUUAUGUUUAAUAGUUUGUUUGCUUGUUUUGCCCCAACCUGCACCACAGCAAGCACUUGAGCCACAGCAGUGACAGUGCUGGAUCCUUAACCCAGUGAGCCACAAGGGAACUCCAACUCUAUCACUUUUUUUCAUAUGGCUGCACCCACAGCAUAUGGAAGUUCCCAGGCCAGGAAUCGAAUCCAAGCCACAGCUGCAAGCUAUGCCACAGUUGUGGCACUGCCAGAUCCUUAACCCACUGGGCCAGGCUGGGGAUCAAACCCAUACUGCCACAGAGACAACGCCACUCCUCCAUCACUUCUUUUUAUCUGUAUUCUGUUCUGUUGAGAGAGAGAGAGAGAGAGAGAGAGAGAGUGUGUGUGUGUGUGUGUGUGUGUGUGUGUGUGUUUACCAUGAAGUUUCAUAUAACAUCCUAAAGUAAUAAGUUUGUUUUGAACUGGAACCAACUUAACUUCAUUCACAUACAAAAACUCUACGCCUCUACAGCUCUAUUCAUCCCUGUUUAUUGCCAGUGUCACAAAUUACAUUUUUGAACCUUGUGUUCCCUUUAAUAUAAAUUUUUAAUUUUUUUGUGAAUUUGUAUUUUAUGUUCUUUAGAAAAUGAACAGAGUAAUCUUGUAGUAAUAUAGGUUUUUAUAUUUGCCUAUGUAUUUACCUUUACUGAAGGUCUUUACAUCUUUAUAUCAUAGACUGUCUAGUGUUUUUUUUGUUUUGUUUUGUUUCAACCUGAAGAACUUCUUUUUAGCAUUUCUUUUAGGGCAAUACUAAUUGUAAUGAGCUUCCUUAGCUCUUGGUGGAUAUAGAAUUCUUGGUUAUUAUCUUUUUCUUUUAGCACUUUUAAUAUUUUAUCCCACUGCCUUGUGUCCUCCAUAGUUCCUAUUGAUAAUCUUUUUGAGGAUCUCUGUGAUUGAUAUUUCUUUAGCUGCUUUCAAGAUUCUGUCUUUCAACAGUUUGAUUAUACUCUGUCUUGGUGUAGAUCUGCCUGGGUGUAUCCUACUUAUAAUUUAUUGAACUCCUUGGAUUUGUAGAUUCAUCUUUUAUCGCAUUUGGAAAGUUCGGAGCCAUUAGUUCUUCAGAUAACCUCUGUGUCCCUUUUACUCCCUCCUCUUCUCAGAUUUCUGUAAUGUUUAUAAUGAUCUGUCAGUCUGCUUGAUGGUGUCCCAUGAGUUCCUUGGGGUCUGUUUACUUUUCUUCAUUAUAUUUUCUUUUUGUUCUUCAGCCUUCGUAAUUUCAAAUGUUCUAUAUUUAAGUUUGCUGAUUUGUCUUUUUGCUCAAGUCUUCUGUUGAACCCCUUUAUUUUUCAGCUCUGGAAAUUGUUCAGUUCCUUUUUAUAAUUUCUUAUUGUUGAUACUCUAAUUUUGUUUAUGUUUCCCUUUUUUUUUUCCUCUUUGUAUUUUCUUUGAGCUCUUGAAACAUAUUUAGGACAGUUGGUUUUAGUCUUUAGUAAGUCCAUCGCCUGUGCUUCUCUAGGGCUGGUUUCUACCACUUUAUUUCUUUCCUUUGAAUGGGUCAUGUUCUCUUACUUUUUGUUUUUUUAUGCUCUGUAAUUUUUCAUUGAAAAUUGAUAAAGCUAUCACUUCUCCCUGUUGGCAGACUGAUUUUGUGUCUACCAGACCAGUCCUUAACUAAUAAGCUGAGCGUGCUCUGGAGGUUUGGAUCAGCACAGUGUGAGGGCUUUUGGUGUUAGGCCUUUUCUGGGCAUUCCACUUGCCAAAUCUCCAUAUGACUUUUUCGGUUCCCUCAUAUAUACAGUUGCUUUUAAAGGUCUUAAAUUCCUAAAAAAUCUUACCCCAGAAUCUUCUCCUCAGGACCUCAGCUGAUCUUUUAUAUGUAUUUCUACUAUAAUCUCUUGUUCCAGGCAUCUGCAGGUCUAUAGGCCUUCUGCAGUUUACCCAAGUAGUACUGGCAUCUUCCCCACCUGAGCUCUGAGAGGUAGAACAGAGAGCAGUUCUUCAGGCAGCCUCCAGGAGCUGAGAAUGUUGAAGAUAAGUUUGCUUUGUUCCUUCUGGUUUGAGGGAGGGAUUUGGGAACCUGGCUGAUGUUUGCUCCAAAACUGUGUAGGGAGGGAGUGGAGCAAGGUCAAAUAAAAAUGCCACAAAAUGAAGUUCCUGUCGUGGCUCAGAGGAAACAAAUUUGGUAACUAUGAGGAUGCAGGUUUGAUCCCUGGCCUUGCUCAGUGGGUUAAGGAUCCAGUGUUGCUGUGAGCUGUGGUAUAGGUUGCAGAUGUGGCUCAGAUCUGGCAUUGCUGUGGCUGUGAUGUGGGCUGGUGACUGAAGCUUCAAUUCAGCACCUAGCCUGGGAACUUCCAUUAUGCCACAAGUGUGCCCCUAAAAAAGAAAAAAAAAAAAUUGAGCAAAGAGGCAGUGGAGAAAAGAUAACCUCUUCAGCAGUUGGUGUUAGGAAAGCUGACCAGACACAUGUAAAUCAGUGAAAUUAGAACACACCGUACACAAAAAUAAACUUAAAAUGGUUUUAAACACUUAAAUAUAAGGCAUGACACUAGGAAUUACCUCUGUGGUGCAUGGGUUAAAGAUCUGGUGUUGCCAUGGCUAUGGUGUGGGUUGAAGCUGCAGCUCUGAUUAAGUCCUUGGCCUGGGAACUUCCAUAUGCUGAGGGUAUAGCCAAAAAGAAAAAAGACAGAAAACAGGGCGAAGACUCACUGAAGAUGACAUACAGAUGGCCAGUAGGGACAUGAAAAGAUGCUCAGCAUCACUAAUUAUUAAAGGAAUGCAAAUCAGAACUACAGUGAAGUACCAUCUCACACUGGUCAGAAUGGCCAUCAUUAAAAAGUCUACAAAUAACAGCAGUUCCCAUGUGGCUCAGCCAGUUAAAGAUCUGUCGUCACUGCUGUGGCUCAGGUUGCUGCUAUGGCACAGGUUUGAUCCCUGGCCCAGGAACUCCCACAUACUGCAGGUGCAGCCAAAAAAAAAAA
rnacentral:lncRNA from 1 species